AGAAGAUUCAGCAGUUCUAUGGUAUCAUCCAGGCACUACAUUUCCAAGAUCUCUGACACUGCGUUCUUAAGAAUAAUAAUGAAAAGGAAAGAUUCAUGAGUCCAAUUCAGAUUCCAUCACUUUCUUCAUUUUACCAGUGGUACAACCUUGGACAAGAAUGUAUUUAAGGAAUCAGGAAAACAACAUUUGUGGUGUCCUUACCACUGUGUGUUUCCACCUGCGUUCAUCUGCACCCACAAAUCCCUCCUUCCUAAUACUUUCUGGGGGAUACCUGCUUUCCUGUAUAACCCCCCCUCCACUCUUUCUCUAGCUCUCAGACAUUGUUCAAUCCUCAGGACUGUCACUCCAGUAAUUAUUAUUUUUUAAAUUGUUAUUUGUACAGAUAA